rnacentral:ncRNA from 1 species
CUAGUGAAACUGACAGCUUUCCUAGAAAGCCGAUUAACCAAUCUUCUGUAAUGCUAUUAUGAGGAUUACCCCUUGAGGUUCAUAGCAGUAGGUCGUCCUACAGUUAAUCACAUGCUUUUGCUAG